rnacentral:rRNA from 1 species
AGGGGUUUGGAUCCUGGGCUCAGAAUGAACGCUGGCGGCGUGCCUAACACAUGCAAGUCGCACGAGAACGGUUCCUUCGGGGAUCUAGUAAAGUGGCGAACGGGUGAUUAACGCGUGGGUAAUCUGCCCUCGAGUGGGGAAUAACCUUGGGAAACCGGGGCUAAUACCGCAUGACAUCGUUGGAUCUUCGGGUCCGGCGACCAAAGGUGGCGNAAGUUCGACUGCUACCGCUCGAGGAGGAGCCCGCGUCCCAUUAGCUUGUUGGUGGGGUAACGGCCUACCAAGGCUCCGAUGGGUAGCCGGCCUGAGAGGGUGUCCGGCCACACUGGAACUGAGACACGGUCCAGACUCCUACGGGAGGCAGCAGUGGCGGAAUAUUGGGCAAUGGGCGAAAGCCUGACCCAGCGACGCCGCGUGGGUGAUGAAGGCCCUUGGGUCGUAAAACCCUGUCAUGAGGGACGAAUGACCCGAUCUCUAACAUAGGUCGGGUUUGACGGUUCCUCAUGA